rnacentral:lncRNA from 1 species
CAACCACCUGACUUCCGCUUCCGGCGGGCUAAAGUUGAGGGUGCCUGUCAAGUCUCGCGAUAACUAAGGCUCUCCGUGUGGAUCGCUUUGCAACAGAUCGCUUCUUCAAAUGCUGGCACAACGCCCAGAGCUCGAUGAGGUGUGGGCAAGUAGCUGUCUAAAGGUGGAUGAUGCCCUCCAUGCACUUUCAGCCUGCCUGGUGGCUGGGCAGUCGAAAACGUCGCCGUCUAUUAAGCUCCUUUGAUUGGGAGCAGGUGACGGGUAGAGACGGAAGUUCUGGGAAUCACCGGAGAAGGGAGGGAAGGGCUCCUUCCGGCCGCCUGCUCCCGGAGUCUUCGUGGGGAACGUGAGGUGAGAGCAGGCGGUGAAGAGUAGACACGACUGAUGACUUCAGGGAUGCUACACCUUUCUCUCCUGCCUGGGCAAGCCUCGGUAGUAAGAUUUCCGUAGUCCGUUUUGUAUGUGGUUUUGCAGAAACAUACCCCCUCUCUGCUCCAGCUUCAGUCGUCAGUAUCCAGCUACUUCCAAGAGUCUUGCCCAUGUCUUGUGGGAUGUUCAGCAAAUGUAUAAACACUUAAUAUCCCGACAAAGCUUGGCCUCUUCCCUCCCAAAUUACUUCCCAGGCUAUGCACCCGUUUUUGUUAAUACAACCAACUUGGAAACUUUGAUGUCAGAUUUGAUGCCCUUUCUUGCCUUUCCAUGCUCCAAUCACUUGCCAAGUCCUGUCGAUUGUACCCCUACAGUAAUUCUUGCAUCUUCUUACCCACUGCCCCCACCUAAUCAACGUUCUCAUUACCAUCCCCUGCACGGUGUCAGUGCAGUACCUUUCUCAUUGAUGUCCUGCCUCUAGCAUCACUCUGCUACUAGCCUAUCUUACAUAUACCUGCUAUAGGUGUAGCCAUCUUCAAGCACCACCGUGAUCCAAAAUAGCUGAUCCAAUGGCUCUCUGUUGCCUGUAGAUUAAAGGUCAAGUUUAUUAACUUGGAUUCAAAACUUUUUUUAUUUUCUGCUGUUCCCCUUCCAUUCUCCCUCAGUCAGUGGUAAACCAGACCCUGUGAAGUACGUCAUGCAUAAAUUAUUACAUUUUUAUAGAUUGCUCAUGUCCCUUGCAUGAAAUACCUGUCUCUCCCCCUCAUCUCCAAAUGUUGAAAUUCUUUCCAUUAUUUAAAGCUUUAGAAAGUGACAUCUCUACCUAGAAAUAAUUUUUCUUUCUAUUGA